AAAAACAUGUUGGUUUUAGUUCUGUUUUCAGCUGUAUUCAAACACUGAUCAUUUGCUUGGUUAAAAAUUAGUCUCAUAUUUAACAACUCAAACUCAAACACAACAAUUCGAUGCGGGAAACCCUCCGCUCAAAUGCUAUUCAGAUGCAGUUCGCGGCAUGAAUUAUGCAUGUGACUGGCGACUUCCAUAUUCACCAAUUGCAUUUCAUUUGUAGAUAAAUGCGUGCGUAUCUUCUUGGUACUAUUUUACAAAAACCAUAUGUACAUACAUACAUAUAUAUGCUACUGCUACUGAGCUGCAACCCUCUCCGCCCCGUGUUCGUUGCCCAUAUAAUCUGGAAGUAUUCGUGCGGAACAUCUGCCCGCUGUUUUCAAAAUGGAUUCAUGUUGAAUUAAAAAUGAAAUGAAAUGAUAACAAACAAGAACAACAAUAGGAACGACAAGCAAUCUCCACCACCCCAUAUUUCCCGGCCGGCAUCUUGUACCCUAAACUGUUUUCGAAGCCCUGCAUAGGUAUCAACUAAUAACUAACCCUCUCCUCUCACACCCUUGAAUCGGAUGUAGGCUGCAUUGCAAAUUAACAGCCUGUAUAAAAUGUGUACCGCCCGAGGUCUGUCAAAAAUCAUCUCGAGAGCAUUUCCCUGUAAAAUGUCAAAAAAAAAAAAAACAAACAAACAAACAACGGAACGAAAAACAAUAUACAUAACCACAGAUAUUAAAAGGAAUAGAGUUGACAUUUCAUAGCCAUAGACACAGAGUCUGAGCCCACCAUAAUUUCCCAGACGCAAUGUCGUUUAUCAUCAUGAACCGCUUCUAAUCAAAAAACAACAAAAACCAAAUUCGAAGACAUUUUCAAUGAUGGCCGCCCGCGAGAGAAAGCAAGUGGAAUUUCUAUGCAAAUCGAACGCCGCUUUAUAAUUUUGAUGACGCCGAUUUGUCUCUAUAUUCAUAAAAACUGCCCAAGAAAAACCUCCACAUAUUUUUAAGGUCGCAGGAAAAUCAAAGACAAAGCGAAGCCGACCAGAACUUAACCAACAUAGCAUAAUUAAAGUCGGAAUAAAUUAUUACACACAUUUUGAGGUAAAUGCGACAAAUGCCUAAAUCCGAAAGGUCCCCACGACCACAAACUAAACCAAUCCAAUGAAGAACAACGUUUUUAAUCAUCAUGGAAAACGUGAGUUGGUUCAAAAUAUAAAAUAAAAUGUCGGCAUGUUGAAGAGUUCUUGGAAAAGCAUGAAUUAAUGAAAAUACAAUGCAAGUAAAUCAAA